rnacentral:lncRNA from 1 species
CCAAGGACGGGUGGUGGUGGUGGUGGUGGUGGUGUGAAGAACCCAGAAGCAAUGGGAACCUGGAGUUAGAAUGGAGAACAGGAAGGAAGCUUAAAAAAAAAAUAACCACCACUAACUACCAACAAAAAACCAAAGCCUUCCCUCUCGAUUUGUUUUGCUAGGUGGAAACCAAGGCACAGACAGGCUAAGCUUCCCAGGUCAUACAGCACCCCACUGGGAGGUCCACCAUCCAGGCUCUGGCCUUUAGCCUGCUAGAGUCACCUAGGCCUCAUCCCCUCAGAGAGGAACCCGUGGGGGAGACUUAGCCCAGAGCUGGGUGGAAGAGGAGUGCGUAAGCAGUGCCCAUUUCACCGCAUAGGCUGAGUAAUGGCCCCCACAGGUGGCUGGCCACAGUGCAGAGCUACUGCCCCGGUUGGUUCCACUCUUUGCCCUGUCAAGCAGUGAUUACCAAUGCUCGUCUUAAAAUGAGUCAACAUUCAAGCAUACUGCACCCGAAUGGACUAAGCUUACUGAAGUCACCCGCAGGUAACUUGAUAGACGGCUGAGACAGCGCCCAUGGUGGGAAUUAGGCAGUGCCUGAGCCAAAGAGACAUGGGGAAAUGACCUUGAGUGAAUGUGGCACGCAGGUGGCCUUGUUUCAC